GCUUAUGGCCAUACCACCCUGAGAACGCCCGAUCUCGUCUGAUCUCGGAAGCUAAGCAGAGUCGGGCCUGGUUAGUAUUUGGAUGGGAGAUCGCCUGGGAAUACCAGGUGCUGUAAGCU
rnacentral:rRNA from 1 species